rnacentral:lncRNA from 1 species
GGUGUGUGCUACAAUCGAACAGGAGAAAGGAAAAAGGGGGUGUGAACCCUAAACCUCAAGAAAUCAUCAAAUUGAAAAGGGAAUCAAGGGCUGAUUGUAUGCAUGAACCAAGGAUGGUGAUCCCUUAAACAUUUCUAACAUCAACGUAGGAGCCAUGUCAACAUGGACACGAGCAUGGAAGGGCAAUGGGUCAACGGUAAAUACGGAAGCUAUGCAUGAACUCGGACGCACGAGGUACAUGAACACCGGGUUCAUGAAGUAUUGAAGUCGAAUUUGGAACAAGAAAAUACGAAAGGAUAGUUGAAUGAAUUAAAGUUCCUACUGUUAAAUGUUAUUCAAUAUUGGACUAUAUGAGAAUCAUGUCGUAUGAUAUUGUUAAUGACUAAUGGUUAUGAUGUAUGCGAUGUCCACAGGUAUUGCACGGAUUACCGCUACUACUACCGAAGAUAAGCAAGCGUUGAUCGAGUCACGGAGCAAGGGUUGUACGGAAAUAUGUAUUGUCUUGAAGCGUUAAUUUAAUGUGGUUAUUGUAAAUCCCUUUUGUAAAUGUUUAUCAUUUGUAUUUGAGCCUUCAAGUAAGUAAUGUGUCUAAAUAAGAAAGAAAUUUUUGGGCUCGUAUUUUUCCGCUGUGUCAUAUUUAAGUUCUUACAAGUUGGUCUUACAGGGAAUCGUUCAUUAUACGAACGGGUCAUGCCCGAAUUUUGUAAAUAAUAAUACUUAUUUUGGAGUAAGAAAUAUGGGCGUUACAAGUUGGUAUCAGAGCACUGGUUUGAGGGAAAUCAAGUAGAUGGAGGUAAAUACUUGAACUCAAACCCGUGUGCUCUUGUGUCAAGGAACCCGUACAAUCCAAGACUCGAUCAAGGCCUAAGGUUAAAAGCGAAUGUAAGUAUGUAUUAAAUUAUGUAUUUAAAGGAAACUAAUAGUAUGUUAUGUGAAGGGUAAGCGGAAUUGCUUGGAAGGGAUGAUAUGUGAAUGUGGUUUAGGACCGAUACCAAUGCAUGUAAUAAGACAUAUUGACCCAGGUCAAAAGGAGAUUGCCAUUUGCACCCGGUGUUCAACAAAGUAAGUUGAUAGUUAUUAAGCAAGUAAUAGUAAAAUAGCAUGAAAUAGUUGAUUCGCCAAGUAGAUAAACCGAUAAAAAAAAUAUUGUAGUAGCAAGAAACUUUAGCCGAAAGAAAUAAGCUUUGAAAUAAGUUAUGUGUAAGACAUAUUAUAAAUUGACUCUUGGGAGUCGGGAUGAAUGAAGGCUACGACUUAGAGAAAUGAUUUAAGUAGGGACAGGAAGGGGUAAAAUCUUGCAAUUAAUAUUAAAAUGAUUAAAUAAAGUCUUUGUAAGUAAGCAAGAAUGGAAAGGAAUUCUGAACGUGUACUUUGAUACGUCUAUGAUAAGUAAGAAGUACCGGUUUGACUUUGAAAAGUCAAACUACAAAAGUUGACAAAUGAGCUAAAGAUCUGCGAAGGAAUGGUUAUAUAUUGACCUGUCAUGAACGGGUCAAACAACGAAAGAGAUAUGUUAUAAAAUGGUCAUGUAUUGGCCCGUUAUGAACGGGUCAAACGCACUAAUGUUUUAAAAGGAAUCGAGAAAGAAUUAAUAUGCAAAUAAGGUGGUGUAAUGAACAUCACGUCUGAAUGAAAUAUGUAAAACCCUAAUCUUAUAAUGAGAGUGGCAGGAAUCAGGAGGUGAUAAACCUAGCAAGGUCAGUGAAAGAAUGCUCAUGAGCGAAAGCUCAUCACACGGAUGAAAGAGGUCAAUCCGGAAAAUGGUACAAAUGGUAAUGAAGAAGACCGGUUCGCUCUUACAUGCCUAAGCACUGCGCCAAAGUAGUAAGUUUAGGGAAUUAUUAAUAUGUGAAUGUAAAAUUAUAACUAUGGUUGAAAAGUACUUCCGUACAAAAUUAUGUGGCACAGAAUGUGUUAUGAAAAGGAAGGCUUGGCUUUUAGAAGUUAAUUAAGAUUAAGUUUCAGUUCAGGCUUAUGUAGUAAGUAGUGCGAAUGAGUAAGGAGGUAGAAAUAGAACUCCAGGGAUAAGUGAAACUAUUAAAACUAAUGCUAACAGUGAAAUGUAUUAGCAAGUUCAUAUGAAAUUCAAAUUGUUGUAAUGUAAAUUAUGAUAUUAGACUCAUUAGGUCGCUACUAGUCUGCACACACUAGUUUAAGUACGGUAAUGUAACGAGUUGAAAAUUUAAGAAGAAAUUGAUAAAGAAUGGAAUUGUAAAGUAUGAGUAGUUAACCGGUUACGAACGGGUCAAUGUGACGAAGAAAGCAUAAUGAAGAAAUUGCAAAAGUAGUGACUCGUUGUAAUAGGUCGCAGGAGAUGAAAACUAUGAUAAUGAAAAAAAAUGUAAGUAUUGACCCGUUAUAGAUGGGUCAAUUAAGACAAGCAUGACGGGCUAUGAUAAUGGUCAAAACCUUGAUCCGUUAUGAACAGGUCGGAUGUACUAUAUGUUUGAUGUUUAAGGAAUGUUACGUACAAAUCUAGGUAGAUUGAUUUGUAGAAAGAAAUGGAGAAAGGACCUUCUAGAAAUGAGGAUCUUAAAGUUAUGACCUUACUAAUGGAUAAACUAAUAGUGAUGAAGUGGGUUUCGGGGACGAAACCUUCUUGAAGGGGGGUAGAUUUGUAACACCCCAAAACUCAAAUUAUUAAAUUCAUUAGUAGGUUACCAUGUGUAAUUAAAUGAAAUACAAUAACUAAGUUAUUAUACUUAGUUAAAUGCCUAAUAAUAAGUAAGGGAAUGAAAUUGGUGGCAAUUAUGAUGGUGUGAUAAACUUAAGGGACUAAGGUUGCCAAAAUAGAAACUGAAUUUAAUUAAAACAAAAUUAAAUCACACACAAACACACACAAGGUGUGUGCUACAAUCGAACAGGAGAAAGGAAAAAGGGGGUGUGAACCCUAAACCUCAAGAAAUCAUCAAAUUGAAAAGGGAAUCAAGGGCUGAUUGUAUACAUGAACCAAGGAUGGUGAUCCCUUAAACAUUUCUAACAUCAACGUAGGAGCCAUGUCAACAUGGACACGAGCAUGGAAGGGCAAUGGGUCAACGGUAAAUACGGAAGCUAUGCAUGAACUCAGACGCACGAGGUACAUGAACACCGGGUUCAUGAAGUAUUGAAGUCGAAUUUGGAACAAGAAAAUACGAAAGGAUAGUUGAAUGAAUUAAAGUUCCUACUGUUAAAUGUUAUUCAAUAUUGGACUAUAUGAGAAUCAUGUCGUAUGAUAUUGUUAAUGACUAAUGGUUAUGAUGUAUGCGAUGUCCACAGGUAUUGCACGGAUUACCGCUACUACUACCGAAGAUAAGCAAGCGUUGAUCGAGUCACGGAGCAAGGGUUGUACGGAAAUAUGUAUUGUCUUGAAGCGUUAAUUUAAUGUGGUUAUUGUAAAUCCCUUUUGUAAAUGUUUAUCAUUUGUAUUUGAGCCUUCAAGUAAGUAAUGUGUCUAAAUAAGAAAGAAAUUUUUGG